GACGAACGCUGGCGGCGUGCCUAAUACAUGCAAGUCGAGCGGAACUGGGGGAGCUUGCUCCUUCCAGUUUAGCGGCGGACGGGUGAGUAACACGUGGGCAACCUGCCCUGCAGAUCGGGAUAACUCCGGGAAACCGGUGCUAAUACCGAAUAGCUUGGCGCCUCUCCUGAGGCCUUACGGAAAGACGGUUUCGGCUGUACCUGCAGGAUGGGCCCGCGGGGCAUUAGCUAGUUGGUGGGGUAACGGCCCACCAAGGGGACGAUGCGUAGCCGACCUGAGAGGGUGACCGGCCACGCUGGGACUGAGACACGGCCCAGACUCCUACGGGAGGCAGCAGUAGGGAAUCUUCCGCAAUGGACGCAAGUCUGACGGAGCAACGCCGCGUGAGUGACGAAGGUUUUCGGAUCGUAAAACUCUGUUGUGAGGGAAGAACACGUACCAACUAACUAUUGGUACCUUGACGGUACCUCACCAGAAAGCCACGGCUAACUACGUGCCAGCCGCCGCCGUAA
rnacentral:rRNA from 1 species